rnacentral:misc_RNA from 1 species
GAUGAAGAACGCAGUGAAAUGCGAUAAUUAAUGUGAAUUGCAGAAUUCAGUGAAUCAUCGAGUCUUUGAACGCACAUUGCGCCCCCUGGUAUUCCGGGGGGCAUGCCUGUCCGAGCGUCAUUGCUGCCCUCAAGCACGGCUUAUGUGUUGGGCUUCCGUCCCUGGCAACGGGGACGGGCCCAAAAGGCAGUGGCGGCACCAUGUCUGGUCCUCGAGCGUAUGGGGCUUUGUCACCCGCUCCCGUAGGUCCAGCUGGCAGCUAGCCUCGCAACCAAUCUUUUUAACCAGGUUGACCUCGGAUCAGGUAGGGAUACCCGCUGAACUUAAGCAUAUCAAUAAGCGGAGGA